rnacentral:rRNA from 1 species
GAUGAACGCUAGCGAUAGGCUUAACACAUGCAAGUCGAGGGGCAGCACAAGGUAGCUUGCUAUCUGGGUGGCGACCGGCGCACGGGUGCGUAACGCGUAUGCAACUUGCCCUAUACAGGAGGAUAACCCGUCGAAAGACGGACUAAUACUGCGUAUGCUCACAACUUGGCAUCAAGUGGUGAGGAAAGAAAUUCGGUAUAGGAUAGGCAUGCGUCCCAUUAGCUUGUUGGUGAGGUAACGGCUCACCAAGGCAACGAUGGGUAGGGGAACUGAGAGGUUUACCCCCCACACUGGUACUGAGACACGGACCAGACUCCUACGGGAGGCAGCAGUGAGGAAUAUUGGUCAAUGGGCGCGAGCCUGAACCAGCCAAGUCGCGUGAAGGAUGACUGUCUUAUGGAUUGUAAACUUCUUUUAUACGGGAAUAACAAGAGUCACGUGUGACUCCCUGCAUGUACCGUAUGAAUAAGCAUCGGCUAACUCCGUG